UCUGGUUGAUCCUGCCAGUAGUGAUAUGCUUGUUUCAAAGAUUAAGCCAUGCAUGUCUAAGUAUAAGCGAACUUAUACAGUGAAACCGCGGAUGGCUCAUUAAAACAGUUUGAAUUUAUUUGAUGAAUGUAUGAGAAUACUACUUGGAUAACCGUAGUAAUUCUAGAGCUAAUACAUGCAACGACGCCCGACCGUUUCACUACGGAAGGGCUGUAUUUAUUGGAUACCAAAACCAUCCUUCCCUCGGGAAGUUUUGUUUGAUGAUUCACAAUAACUGAUCGGAUCGCCACUGUGGUGGCGACAGGUCAUUCAACAUUCUGCCCUAUCAGCUUUCGAUGGUUGUGUAGUGGACAACCAUGGCCAUAACGGGUAACGGAGAAUCAGGGUUCGAUUCCGGAGAAGGAGCUUGAGAAUUGGCUACUACAUCUAAGGAAGGCAGCAGGCGCGCUAAUUACCCAAUCCCGAUUCGGGGAGGUAGUGACAAAAAAUAACAAUACCGGGCCUUUUUGGGCUUGGUAAUUGGAAUGAGGGAGAGUUAAACGGACCAUCGAGUAUCCAUUGGAGGGCAAGUCUGGUGCCAGCAGCUGCGGUAAUACCAGCUCCAAUAGCGUAUAUUAAAGUUGUUGCAGUUAAAAAGCUCGUAGUUGGACUUGUGUGCGCUGUCCGCGGGUGGCCUGCGCCCAAAAGGGCGCUUCGGUUCGGCCCCGGUGGCGCCUUGAAAUCUGCAGCUGGGGGGACGUUGGCCUUAACUGGUCGGCGACCGCACGCCGGCUGCCCGGUUACUGUGAGAAAAUUAGAGUGUUCAAGGCAGGCAUUGGGUGCAAUUGAAUACAUUAGCAUGGAAUAAUAAAAUAUGGCUCCUGCCGUAUUUUGUUGGUUUUGACUGGUGGGAGUAAUGAUUGAUAGGGACGGUUGGGGGUGCUAGUAUUGAGCGGCCAGAGGUGAAAUUCAUGGAUUCGCUCAAGACUAACUUAUGCGAAAGCAUUCACCAAGGACGUCCUCUUUAAUCAAGAACGAAAGUUGGGGGAUCAAAGACGAUCAGAUACCGUCGUAGUCUCAACCAUAAACUAUGUCGACUCGGGAUCGGCGGUAGUUUUUUCAUUAAGACACUGUCGGGACCACGGGAGAAAUCAAAGUGUCUGGACUCUGGGGGAAGUAUGGUCGCAAGGCUGAAACUUGAAGGAAUUGACGGAAGGGCACCACCAGGAGUGGAGCCUGCGGCUUAAUUUGACCCAACACGGGGAAACUUACCAGGUCCAGAGAUGUAGAGGAUUGACAGAUUGAAGCUCUUUCUUGAUCACUUCGGUGGUGGUGCAUGGCCGUUCUUAGUUGGUGGAGUGAUUUGUCUGGUUAAUUCCGUUAACGAACGAGACCUCAGCCUGC
rnacentral:rRNA from 1 species